AUUGAACGCUGGCGGCAUGCCUAACACAUGCAAGUCGAGCGAGCGGCGGCCGGGUGAGUAAUGUCUGGGAAACUGCCCGAUGGAGGGGGGUAACUACUGGAAACGGUAGCUAAUACCGCAUACCCUCAGAUGUGCCCAGAUGGGCUUAGCUAGUAGGUGGGGUAAUGGCUCACCUAGGCGACGAUGCCUAGCUGGUCUGAGAGGAUGACCAGCCACACUGGAACUGAGACACGGCCCAGACGCCUACGGGAGGCAGCAGUGGGGAAUAUUGCACAAUGGGCGAAAGCCUGAUGGAGCAAUGCCGCGUGUGUGAAGAAGGUUUUCGGGUCGUAAAGCACUUUUAGCGGUGAGGCGUUAACCGAAGAAGAAGCACCGGCUAACUACGUGCCAGCAGCCGCGGUAAUAC
rnacentral:rRNA from 1 species